rnacentral:lncRNA from 1 species
UGUUGGUGUAAAUAUUCAAAAAAUAGAGAUUAGCUACAAAAUAAUUUAAAAAAUAUCAACGAGUCAAUCAAGCCGAGGCACGGAUAUCUCGCUCUCUUUAAGGAGAUUCAAGCCCUCUGCGGUUGGCAAAGCCUUUGAACCGAUGCAGCAGAGCACCGACUUGUCCCCUCCAGGAUACAACGGCUCAACCCUCGUCGUGUGGCUUCACCAACUCUGCACAAGUAGAUGAGCCCAAAGCUCCACCAAAAGAAACACCUUUCUUU